UCCCAUAAGCCAAUGUUGCCAGUAUUUG
rnacentral:sRNA from 1 species